rnacentral:rRNA from 1 species
UGGGGAAUAUUGGACAAUGGGCGAAAGCCUGAUCCAGCCAUGCCGCGUGUGUGAAGAAGGUCUUCGGAUUGUAAAGCACUUUAAGUUGGGAGGAAGGGCAGUAAGCGAAUACCUUGCUGUUUUUACGUUACUGACAGAAUAAGCACCGGCUAACUCUGUGCCAGCAGCCGCGGUAAUACAGAGGGUGCAAGCGUUAAUCGGAAUUACUGGGCGUAAAGCGCGCGUAGGUGGUUCGUUAAGUCGAUUGUGAAAGCCCCGGGCUCAACCUGGGAACUGCAGCCAAAACAGGCGGGCUAAAGUAGGGGAGAGGGGGGUGGAAUUAACUGUGUAGCGGUGAAAUGCGUAGAUAUAGAAAGGAACACCAGUGGCGAAGGCGACCACCUGAGCUCAUACUGACACUGAGGUGCGAAAGCGUGGGGAGCAAACAGG